AUGGAGCAUUCUUGGACAUAGGAAAUUGGCUGUUCAGCAAUGCUGGCUGCUUCAACACAUGCAUCUUGGACAUUCUAGGCCAGUUGCAGUAGACUUGUGGUAUGCUGUCAUCUAAAACUUGGAAUGCAUUUGUCUGUUUGUGCGCCAUAGCUGAACCAAGGGCCAAUGGUGGGUUUGUCAUGGUCUUUUGUUGGUUCAAGCAUAGAGCCUUAGCCUUGUAGUGUGGUGCACUGUGAGCAAGGAAUGAGCAUACUCUUGUGGUGGUGCUGCAGUUGAUGUUAGCAGGUUUGGAUUGGUUGCAAAGUUGUAGGCUCAAUUGACUGUGGUGCUUCUGUUAUUGGCCUGGCGUGCUUCAAGUUUGCAGAUAGGUCCAUAUGCAUGAUGGUUCCAGCUGGCAUGUUGAACUGUUUGGUCCAGUUUCAUUGUUCAAUAGCAAAUUGGAUGGUUUGUGGCAAGGUUCAUCACUGGUUUAGGUUUGCACUGCAGCUUAGUUCAUUGCUCAAUUACUUGGUG